rnacentral:snoRNA from 1 species
AAGACUAUACUUUCAGGGAUCAUUUCUAUAGUUCGUGUUAGGUGACUUUUCUACUCAUAAAAUAAUGUGUUAUGAGCACA